rnacentral:rRNA from 1 species
GACGAACGCUGGCGGCGUGCUUAACACAUGCAAGUCGAACGGAAAGGCCCUGCUUUUGUGGGGUGCUCGAGUGGCGAACGGGUGAGUAACACGUGAGUAACCUGCCCUUGACUUUGGGAUAACUUCAGGAAACUGGGGCUAAUACCGGAUAGGAGCUCCUGCUGCAUGGUGGGGGUUGGAAAGUUUCGGCGGUUGGGGAUGGACUCGCGGCUUAUCAGCUUGUUGGUGGGGUAGUGGCUUACCAAGGCUUUGACGGGUAGCCGGCCUGAGAGGGUGACCGGCCACAUUGGGACUGAACUGAGGCCCAGCCUCCUACGGGAGGCGGCAGUGGGGAAUAUUGCACAGUGGGCGGAAGCCUGAUGCAGCAACGCCGCGUGCGGGAUGACGGCCUGCGGGUUGUAAUCCGCUUUCGCCUGUGACGAAGAGUGAGUGACGGUAAUGGGUAAAGAAGCACCGGCUAACUACGUG